rnacentral:rRNA from 1 species
UACAGAGGGUGCGAGCGUUGUCCGGAACCACUGGGCGUAAAGGGCGCGUAGGUGGCUUGCUAAGCGUGUGGUGAAAGCCCGGGGCUCAACCCCGGGUCGGCCGUGCGAACUGGCGAGCUGGAGCACUGUAGAGGCAGGUGGAAUUCCGGGUGUAGCGGUGGAAUGCGUAGAGAUCCGGAAGAACACCGGUGGCGAAGGCGGCCUGCUGGGCAGUUGCUGACACUGAGGCGCGACGAGCGUGGGGAGCAAACAGG